rnacentral:rRNA from 1 species
UACGGAGGGAGCUAGCGUUGUUCGGAAUUACUGGGCGUAAAGCGCACGUAGGCGGCUUUGUAAGUUAGAGGUGAAAGCCCGGGGCUCAACCCCGGAAUUGCCUUUAAGACUGCAGCGCUUGAAUCCGGGAGAGGUGAGUGGAAUUCCGAGUGUAGAGGUGAAAUUCGUAGAUAUUCGGAGGAACACCAGUGGCGAAGGCGGCUCACUGGACCGGUAUUGACGCUGAGGUGCGAAAGCGUGGGGAGCAAACAGG